UACGUAGGGCGCAAGCGUUGUCCGGAAUUAUUGGGCGUAAAGAGCUCGUAGGCGGUUUGUCGCGUCUGCUGUGAAAACUCGAGGCUCAACCUCGAGACGCCGGUUGAAACCAUCUGGCUAGAGUCCGGAAGAGGAGAGUGGAAUUCCUGGUGUAGCGGUGAAAUGCGCAGAUAUCAGGAAGAACACCCGUGGCUAAGGCGGCUCUCUAGUACGGUACUGACGCUGAGACGCGAAAGCGUGGGGAGCGAACAGG
rnacentral:rRNA from 1 species